CCCCCCGAGCUCACGGUGACACUGGUGACGUCCUCGGGGAUACCCGGCAGGUGUCAACCAGGCUGGGAGGGGACACGGUGGUCUACACGGUCCUCAGGAGGAGCGACGGCACCGCCCAGGCCCCCGAGGGUCCCGACUAUGAGAACGUCCCCCCAGGCCCCUCCAGGGACAGGGACGGGGAAGGGACACUGGAGGCGACACUGGAGGGGACACUGGAGGGGACACUGGAGG